rnacentral:tRNA from 1 species
GGUAGAGUAGACUUAAGGUAGGUUAUUGGGUUCAUAGUCCAAGUGAAUAGGUUCAAUUCCUGUCUUUACCA